UACGUAGGGUGCAAGCGUUAAUCGGAAUUACUGGGCGUAAAGCGUGCGCAGGCGGCUUUGCAAGACAGAUGUGAAAGCCCCGGGCUCAACCUGGGAGGUGCGCUUGGGACUGUUGGGCUUGAGUUCGGGAGAGGAGCGUGGAAUUCCCAGUGUAGAGGUGAAAUUCGUAGAUAUUGGGAAGAACACCGGUGGCGAAGGCGGCGCUCUGGACCGAGACUGACGCUGAGGCGCGAAAGCGUGGGGAGCAAACAGG
rnacentral:rRNA from 1 species